rnacentral:rRNA from 1 species
UGCCUACGGGGGGCAGCAGUGGGGAAUCUUCCGCAAUGGACGAAAGUCUGACGGAGCAACGCCGCGUGAGUGAAGAAGGUUUUCGGAUCGUAAAGCUCUGUCGUUUGGGACGAACGUAUUCUGUGUGAAUAAUGCAGAGUAAUGACGGUACCAAAGGAGGAAGCCACGGCUAACUACGUGCCAGCAGCCGCGGUAAUACGUAGGUGGCAAGCGUUGUCCGGAAUUAUUGGGCGUAAAGGGCGUGUAGGUGGGUUUUUAAGUCGUGUGUCUAAGUGCGGGGCUCAACCUCGUAUGGGCGCAGGAAACUGGGAACCUUGAGUGCAGGAGAGGAAAGUGGAAUUCCCAGUGUAGCGGUGAAAUGCGUAGAUAUUGGGAGGAACACCAGUGGCGAAGGCGACUUUCUGGACUGUGUCUGACACUGAGGCGCGAAAGCCAGGGGAGCGAACGGGAUUAGAUACCCGUGUAGUC